rnacentral:rRNA from 1 species
UACAGAGACUGCAAGCGUUGUUCGGAUUCAUUGGGCGUAAAGGGUGCGUAGGCGGCGCGGUAAGUCGGGUGUGAAAUCUCGGGGCUUAACUCCGAAACUGCAUUCGAUACUGCCGUGCUUGAGGACUGGAGAGGAGACUGGAAUUUACGGUGUAGCGGUGAAAUGCGUAGAUAUCGUAAGGAAGACCAGUGGCGAAGGCGGGUCUCUGGACAGUUCCUGACGCUGAGGCACGAAGGCCAGGGGGAGCAAACGGG